CUAGCACCGCUGCCUCACACUGACUGCACCCGGCAACCCUUCAGGCCAGCAGGACAAGUAGCAACAGGAUGCAUGUGGACAAGCCACGGUGGGUGCACGAAGCAAAUCCAGCUUCUUCUCGUCCCUACUGCUGAAAUCUGCAGCUCCAGCUCGCACUUAGUAUGUCAUUUCUACGGACAGCUCAUUGUCGCCAGAUUUCGUUUUAAGAAUCAACUCGACAUCAACUCGAUCUUGCUCAUGGUGUUUCUCACUCUCUCUUGCUUUUUCUGUUCCCAUUUUCCCCAACUGAAUUUCAAAAACACUAUUCCACAAACUCUCCAUUCGAGAUGCGGAUCCAGUCGCUAGUAUUAGAGGUCUUUACUACGAGUGUUUCGAUGUGAAUUUUUUUAACCUUUCUCUGUUGAAACAUGAGAAUGACAAUUCCUUUUCUGAUUAAUGGAACAAAUAUAUGUAUAUAUAUAUAUAUAUAUAUAUAUAUGACUUAUCUUUGAAGUGGCAGGAAUGCUUUGCUGACUGAGCUUUACCGACAGAGUUUUACCGACCGAGCUAUCAAAACAUGAGUGAGUAAAUGCCUUUGCUGAUGAAUGGAACAGUAUAUAUAUAUAUAUAUAUAUAUAUAUAUAUAUUAAAUUUUAUUCAUUUAUAUCUUAUCUUUGAAGUGGCUUGAAUGCUAUACUGACUUAGCUUUACCGACUGAGCUGUCAAACUGGACUGCUCGCUGGUCGCACGGAUUUCUGUCAGCACAAAGAAAUGACGAACCAUCAUUUGCAUUUUUUUGUUUAUGUUUGAAUCUUGUUUCAAAGCGUCAGAUUAGCAGAAACUGCACGAAAUCAGUUGUCAUAUUUUAUCUAGAAGUAAAUGUUACAAGUUAGGAGCACCGCGGAGAACAUUCCUAGACUGGAAUGGUUUGGCGCUGGAUGGGGACGCGGACACAAAAUUAGUCAUCCAUAGACAGCUGAUGGGCGUUGCCCGGAUAGAAUCACCUGGGAUCACAAUGCCCUUGCCAAAUAUAUUCGCUGUCAGCUGGCGCACCAAGCCUCGCCGACUUUCAGUGAUUCGUUCCUGCAUCAUCUGGUACCACCGUCAAGGUUGCGAAUCCCUCACCCCCUAAAUUGUAGUUAUAGAGCACAGCCUGCGUGGGUGGUGCUCGACUCUUUUUCUUACCUACAAGUCAUGCGACGCCUGCGUCACUCGCAACUCAUCAUCGACCUUGCCUAGCCAUUCACCUGAAAAGCACCAGCAAACAGUUAACUUUCUAAAACCAACCUUUCAGCUCAAAAUCGGCCUAUCGAGGGCGAGGCAAAAAUCCGCCCAGCGGUGCUCCUAAGGGUGGCAUCGUGACUAUGCUGCAGCGCGCCUGAGUUUCUCCCAGGUGCAACUCGGCAUAGUGGGAAAAUGAUUUAGUCGCAUUUUGAGCCCCAGAGGGUCCCCGCGCAACCUCACGUUAUGCUGCAACUUCUAGGUGUCCUGAGUCCUGCCGCAAGGUUUCUUUGCACUCCAACGCCAAAGGCCCUGGGUCUCUCCCUGGUGCCUCCCGGCACCCGAAACAACUCCCACCUAAUCCGGACUUUGCCCAAAGUCGUGCCCCAAAAGAUCUUUGUUUUGGGACGAUUGUGACAGCUUCCAACCUCUCCAUUUGCUACUCCAGGUGGCCCGGCCAAUAGGCUUGGAGGUGACCGGAGUUCUCAAAGUUUCUAUUAAAAACUCCAAAGCAAGAUGAGGGUCAUUUUUGACCUUCACACCCUCCUCUAUUUUGGUUUGUUCAUAAACCAAGUCCAAUCAUUUAGUACAUAAUGGACUUAUGAACAAUUUAGUUGCCCUUGUACCAAUCAACAUAGAAACAUUUUUGUUAACAACUUGAAACAUAAAUAUAUGAGUUUUUUUAUAAAUUUUUAUCAA